UGAGAUGGUGGCAGUGAGGGUGGUAUGAUUCUACGGAACUGAUCUGAAGAUGUUACAUGCACAUCUUGCCGCAUUUUGUUCAACCGCAAUGAAUCCACUCGUAGCUGAGAUUAGCGCUCUGAUGGAAGGUGUUGCUUUGACAGUUUAGCACAUUAAGGCAUCGUUGAUUAUCCAAUCUAAUUGCUCGGUUGCACUGAAUGCUAUGGUUGAUCGCAGUCUUGAUUCCUGCCAUGGACAUCUUAUGAAUGAAAUUAAAGUUACUUUGGAAGCCUGUGAGUUUAUCAUCCAGAAAUUAGAUUGAGCAAAUUAGGGUUGUUGUCUUCUUAACGAAUUGUGGUAGAGCCGAGGGACGAACCAUGUGUUUAUUGCGUCACUCACCUGAAUUUAUCUCAAGGGUAUUGUUGGUCGAUUGUAACCAUGUUAUUGCUAUACAGGAAUAAAACUCAAUGCUUUCCAUCGCAAAAAAAGAGCAAACAAAAGGUAGAAAAGUGGAUGUGAUAAAGGAAACAAUUAAUGGGAACACAAAAAUGGUCACCAUUUAUUGGAUGGAUAUGUGUGCUAGUAUUUAAGGAUAGAGUUAACAACGUCCAAAGAAAGAAAAAGAUAAUCAAUGCCCAUGGAAUACAAAAGAUCACAUUUAUUGGAUGGAUAUGUGUGCUAUUUAAGGAUAGAGUUUAAAAGAUCACUUUUAUUGGAUGGAUAUGUGUGCUAUUUAAGGAUAGAGUUAAUAACGUCCAAAGAAAGAAAAAAAUAAUAAAUGCCCAUCGAGUUAUAUAAACACUAGCAUAGGGACAUAGCUGCUACGACAUAUUGACAAGAACAGUAGCAGAACAACAAGAAAGCUAGCUACUCAAGUACUCCUAAUGGCGCUUAUCAAGAACAUAGGGCAGGCUAUGUGCCUGCUGGCUCUUGUUGUCAUGUCUACCACUUGCCUGCCCUAUCUUGUAGAAGGAAGGAUCAUGGAUAUGAAGGGCACAAUGGUCGGCCAGCCGCCGUGCUUUGUUAUGAAACGUUGCACACUCGAUCUUUGCGAGAAACAAUGCUUAGCACAUGGAUAUCAUAAGGGUCAAAGCGACUGCAUAUCUUUCACAAAAAACCAAUGUUGCUGCAACCGGAUAUGAUAAGGGUGAAAAACGAAUGUCAAAUAAGACUAUUCGACGUGAUUGAUGAAGAAGAUUCAAUAAAAUUUGAACUUUUAUGUAGUAACUAUUGGUUGAUGUAUAACUGCCAAGUGUGAGCAAGUGAAUCGUUGUCUGUGGAGUGUAA